ACUAAGCGUACACGGUGGAUGCCCUGGCAGUCAGAGGCGAUGAAGGACGUGCUAAUCUGCGAUAAGCGUCGGUAAGGUGAUAUGAACCGUUAUAACCGGCGAUUUCCGAAUGGGGAAACCCAGUGUGUUUCGACACACUAUCAUUAACUGAAUCCAUAGGUUAAUGAGGCGAACCGGGGGAACUGAAACAUCUAAGUACCCCGAGGAAAAGAAAUCAACCGAGAUUCCCCCAGUAGCGGCGAGCGAACGGGGAGCAGCCCAGAGCCUGAAUCAGUGUGUGUGUUAGUGGAAGCGUCUGGAAAGGCGCGCGAUACAGGGUGACAGCCCCGUACACAAAAAUGCACAUGCUGUGAGCUCGAUGAGUAGGGCGGGACACGUGGUAUCCUGUCUGAAUAUGGGGGGACCAUCCUCCAAGGCUAAAUACUCCUGACUGACCGAUAGUGAACCAGUACCGUGAGGGAAAGGCGAAAAGAACCCCGGCGAGGGGAGUGAAAAAGAACCUGAAACCGUGUACGUACAAGCAGUGGGAGCACGCUUAGGCGUGUGACUGCGUACCUUUUGUAUAAUGGGUCAGCGACUUAUAUUCUGUAGCAAGGUUAACCGAAUAGGGGAGCCGAAGGGAAACCGAGUCUUAACUGGGCGUUAAGUUGCAGGGUAUAGACCCGAAACCCGGUGAUCUAGCCAUGGGCAGGUUGAAGGUUGGGUAACACUAACUGGAGGACCGAACCGACUAAUGUUGAAAAAUUAGCGGAUGACUUGUGGCUGGGGGUGAAAGGCCAAUCAAACCGGGAGAUAGCUGGUUCUCCCCGAAAGCUAUUUAGGUAGCGCCUCGUGAAUUCAUCUCCGGGGGUAGAGCACUGUUUCGGCAAGGGGGUCAUCCCGACUUACCAACCCGAUGCAAACUGCGAAUACCGGAGAAUGUUAUCACGGGAGACACACGGCGGGUGCUAACGUCCGUCGUGAAGAGGGAAACAACCCAGACCGCCAGCUAAGGUCCCAAAGUCAUGGUUAAGUGGGAAACGAUGUGGGAAGGCCCAGACAGCCAGGAUGUUGGCUUAGAAGCAGCCAUCAUUUAAAGAAAGCGUAAUAGCUCACUGGUCGAGUCGGCCUGCGCGGAAGAUGUAACGGGGCUAAACCAUGCACCGAAGCUGCGGCAGCGACGCUUAUGCGUUGUUGGGUAGGGGAGCGUUCUGUAAGCCUGUGAAGGUGUGCUGUGAGGCAUGCUGGAGGUAUCAGAAGUGCGAAUGCUGACAUAAGUAACGAUAAAGCGGGUGAAAAGCCCGCUCGCCGGAAGACCAAGGGUUCCUGUCCAACGUUAAUCGGGGCAGGGUGAGUCGACCCCUAAGGCGAGGCCGAAAGGCGUAGUCGAUGGGAAACAGGUUAAUAUUCCUGUACUUGGUGUUACUGCGAAGGGGGGACGGAGAAGGCUAUGUUGGCCGGGCGACGGUUGUCCCGGUUUAAGCGUGUAGGCUGGUUUUCCAGGCAAAUCCGGAAAAUCAAGGCUGAGGCGUGAUGACGAGGCACUACGGUGCUGAAGCAACAAAUGCCCUGCUUCCAGGAAAAGCCUCUAAGCAUCAGGUAACAUCAAAUCGUACCCCAAACCGACACAGGUGGUCAGGUAGAGAAUACCAAGGCGCUUGAGAGAACUCGGGUGAAGGAACUAGGCAAAAUGGUGCCGUAACUUCGGGAGAAGGCACGCUGAUACGUAGGUGAAGUCCCUCGCGGAUGGAGCUGAAAUCAGUCGAAGAUACCAGCUGGCUGCAACUGUUUAUUAAAAACACAGCACUGUGCAAACACGAAAGUGGACGUAUACGGUGUGACGCCUGCCCGGUGCCGGAAGGUUAAUUGAUGGGGUCAGCGCAAGCGAAGCUCUUGAUCGAAGCCCCGGUAAACGGCGGCCGUAACUAUAACGGUCCUAAGGUAGCGAAAUUCCUUGUCGGGUAAGUUCCGACCUGCACGAAUGGCGUAAUGAUGGCCAGGCUGUCUCCACCCGAGACUCAGUGAAAUUGAACUCGCUGUGAAGAUGCAGUGUACCCGCGGCAAGACGGAAAGACCCCGUGAACCUUUACUAUAGCUUGACACUGAACAUUGAGCCUUGAUGUGUAGGAUAGGUGGGAGGCUUUGAAGUGUGGACGCCAGUCUGCAUGGAGCCGACCUUGAAAUACCACCCUUUAAUGUUUGAUGUUCUAACGUUGACCCGUGAUCCGGGUUGCGGACAGUGUCUGGUGGGUAGUUUGACUGGGGCGGUCUCCUCCUAAAGAGUAACGGAGGAGCACGAAGGUUGGCUAAUCCUGGUCGGACAUCAGGAGGUUAGUGCAAUGGCAUAAGCCAGCUUGACUGCGAGCGUGACGGCGCGAGCAGGUGCGAAAGCAGGUCAUAGUGAUCCGGUGGUUCUGAAUGGAAGGGCCAUCGCUCAACGGAUAAAAGGUACUCCGGGGAUAACAGGCUGAUACCGCCCAAGAGUUCAUAUCGACGGCGGUGUUUGGCACCUCGAUGUCGGCUCAUCACAUCCUGGGGCUGAAGUAGGUCCCAAGGGUAUGGCUGUUCGCCAUUUAAAGUGGUACGCGAGCUGGGUUUAGAACGUCGUGAGACAGUUCGGUCCCUAUCUGCCGUGGGCGCUGGAGAACUGAGGGGGGCUGCUCCUAGUACGAGAGGACCGGAGUGGACGCAUCACUGGUGUUCGGGUUGUCAUGCCAAUGGCACUGCCCGGUAGCUAAAUGCGGAAGAGAUAAGUGCUGAAAGCAUCUAAGCACGAAACUUGCCCCGAGAUGAGUUCUCCCUGACUCCUUGAGAGUCCUGAAGGAACGUUGAAGACGACGACGUUGAUAGGCCGGGUGUGUAAGCGCAGCGAUGCGUUGAGCUAACCGGUACUAAUGAACCGUGAGG
rnacentral:rRNA from 1 species